rnacentral:rRNA from 1 species
UACGAAGGGUGCAAGCGUUACUCGGAAUUACUGGGCGUAAAGCGUGCGUAGGUGGUUUGUUAAGUCCGAUGUGAAAGCCCUGGGCUCAACCUGGGAAUGGCAUUGGAUACUGGCAGGCUAGAGUGCGGUAGAGGGCAGUGGAAUUCCCGGUGUAGCAGUGAAAUGCGUAGAGAUCGGGAGGAACAUCUGUGGCGAAGGCGGGUCUCUGGGCCGAUACUGACGCUGAGGAGCGAAAGCGUGGGGAGCGAACAGG